UGACUAUUUUGCCCUUAGGAGGGUAUUUUGGUAAAUUAGUAAAUCAUGCCUUUCACCUUUAUAUAUAUGUAGUUGUACUAUUUCAAUUCAUUUGUUCCCACUACUUCAUCACUUCAUUCAUAUUGUUCACUUGAGUCCGGUUCCCUUUCCUCUCACCAUACCUUUCUGUGUCCGGUUCAUUGUUCUUAGGUUUUGUGUGUUUUUUUUUCGUUUUUUUUGCUUUGGUUUUGUUCUAAGCCUGUUUUUCAUCUUCUUCUUCAGGUUUCUUUGCCAUCAAGCAUAAAGGUUUCUUGGUUGUCAAGCAUAAGGGUUUGUGAUUCUUGGAGUUGAUGUUGUUUAUGGCAAUUACUUCUUGAUAUUUUGUUUUGUUUUUGUGUGAUUUUGCUCUCUUUGUGUUGUUUUGUUUUUUUAAUGAGUGUUGGGUAAUGUUUUUUAAAAUUGACUUAUAUGUUUUUGGGUUCUUUUUAAUUUGAUUUUGGUUGCAUGUUUGAGACAAUUGCAAAAUGUUGAGACAAAUGCAAUAAGCUGUGAUUAAGUUGCAAAUAAACAGAUUAUAAGCCAUUUGAAUCAGUGUUUGUGAUCAAUUGAUGUUAAAGAUGGCCAUGGAUAUCAUUUGCUUGAUCACCAAGUAAUUUUAAGAACCUGGUUGCUGUUUGUGUUAUAUUUGUUUGCUAUUGAAUCAUGAUUUUGUUAUUUCUUUUUUAAACCAGUGAGAUUUUUGCUAACUUCUUUGGAAUACUGAACUGAUUCCAUGAGGUGUAGGACUCAUAAAUAUGGUUGCGUGCGAAAUUUGAGUGACAAUGACCUUUGGUUCUGACAUCAUUGCAUCAAUCCAUAAAAUAAGUUUGCAUACAUUGAUUUGAUUCCUGCUUAAAAAUUUGCAUUUCAAGAUGAUAGUUUUUUAUUUUAAAUUCUGUAUGAUAAGGAUUCUAAAUGUUGUGUCGAAGGUGUGAAAAACUGAUAUAGACUUCUGAUACAAAAUUUGGAAUGGAAUGAUGGAUGUUUUCAAUGUAGCUAAUCUCCAAUGUAAAAGCUUGAUUUAGAAAAUUAAAGGUUGGGUCUGAACCAACGCUGGAACUGUAAUUUUUGGAAUAUUUAACUGAUUCCAUCAGGUGUAGGGAUAGACAAAUUGCUGGUAUAAACCUACUAAAUUUUUGCUUAAAUUUUUUUGGAAUGGACUUCUUGGAAUAGACUUCUGAUACAAAUUUUUGCUUAAAAAUUUGCUGCUAUAGUCUUGGUUUACUUUCUUGGAUAUAUUGAACUGAUUGUUAUCUGAAAAUUUGCUGAAAAUCUUAAGUUCUUGUGAUUUGGUUGGUGACUUUGAGAGAUAGUGUUUGUCUGAGAAUAAAGUUAUAAUGAUGGUGUUUGAUACAAUAUUUGGGUGAAGGAUAGUCUCUAUUUUGUUUCAAUUUCCAAACAAGUUUAUCCAUUUGUAGUCUAUAAAAUAAGGAUCUUUCAUUUUUUAAGUAAGUUAACUAUAAUGAUGACAUUGGAUCACUUUGGUUGCAUAAAAUUGAUUGAUUAGAAUUGUUAAAAUCUGAUGCUUGAAAAUUUGCUGGUGUAGUGUUGGUUUACUUUCUUGGAUACAUUGUAUUGAGCUGAUUGUUACCUGAAAAAUUUGCUGAAAAUCUUUAGUUUUUGUGAUCUGAUUGGUGACUUUGAGAGCAAGUAACUGAUUGCCCUUCUCUGUAAUGCGUUGUUUUCGAUUUUUGGUUAGCUUUUGCAUUAGCAUCAGAUUGAUUGAGGUGAUUCUUACUUGAAAGUUUGUUGAUAUGGUGUUGGUUAACUUUCUUUUAUACGUUGAGGUUAUUCUUGGUUGAAAAUUUGCUAAGUGUGUUACCGCAGGACCUGUUGGUUCAUAUGCUUAUUGUUUUGACAUUUUAAUGAAUGUGUGAUUUCCAUUUUUGUUGUAUCUGUUUUGCUGUAUUUUUGUACAGAGUUCUUGUCUUUAUAUUAAGUCUAGCUUCCAUAUUAUGAGUGUGUCUUUGGGUAUAUAGUAUAUUGUUAGCUCAGUCCUAAAUGUUCUGAUUUUGUCAUGCCAAGUACCAUUUUGUGCCAUCUCUUGGAAAAUUUAUGCAUAUACUGUAAUGUAAUCCAAGUGUAAGUACAAACUGAAAGGUUCUCUUUGCAGAAAAUAAGAGAAAACCAGAGCUCACCAAAAUCAUUGUCGCCUCUUCUGGUUUUAUGAAAGCCAAUGAAGUUGCUCAGAAAGCUUUUUAUGGCAUAAGACGUGGCAGUUUUAUCAUUUCUUGCAAUUUGGAGGGUAUUACGUUAUCCCUAGCAACUUCAGGUUUAUCCCCUCAGAGGUCAUUCUUAAUGGCAUUUGUUGAGGUUAUUGCUGCUGGAAUAAUGUGUAUUGCAGCACUGUCUCCAGUGGAACUGGUAUGGAAGUAUAGAGAAGUGGCACAAGCAAAGGAAGUGUCAGUUAAUGGUGCUCUUGCUUAACUGAAAUUGCCAGAUUGUGACUACCAAUGGAUACUCAAGCGCGGAAAAUUCUGCACGAUGUGCUUGAUGAAAUUGGUGUGGAUGUUGCCUCAGUUAUCAGCAGCUCCCAAAGGGGGAAUCGCAACAAAGAAUACUGAAAAUGUCGGCAGGAAUCUCUCUCUGCUUAUGCUAAAAAUGAUUUGGAUCUGGCUGGGAACUGCACUCCUGCAAAUGUGUUAACAAUGUAUAAUUUGUAUAAUAUUUCGAUGACUAUGUGUUGAAAUUAUGGUUUGGAUAUAGUAAUCCAACCCUUUUUUUGAUAAUCAAACUUAAAUAGGUUUUUGACUAUAUCGCAGCAUCUAUAUUUUGGCUGCAGUACACUAUCUAUACAAUAACAAUGGUUGCUACGUUAGUUACUAUGUAAUACACGUUCCAUGA